rnacentral:lncRNA from 1 species
GGGCCUUUUGAAUUAAAUCAAUGACAUAUUUGAGUUGAAUUUAUUUCUGUUAUAUAAGAAAUAAAGUUCAAAUAUUUUUGUAAGUUGCUUGUGACCUUGGACUAGUUUCUGAGCUCACAUAACAAUUUACAGAAAGUUCAAAAAAUGAUUUGAUGUUUUAAAAUCAAAUCAAAACAAAAUGCAAAGAAAUAGAAAACUAAAACAAAUAAAAGAGAGAGAGAGAAGGACUACCUGGCCACCUACCUGUAGCCGGCCCAGCUCGCUGGCCCAGCCCUCCUGGCGCCUCAUGUCGUCUUCCUCCUGCCAAUAGGAGCAGCUGCGUGCUCGCACGCGCGCGGCCGAGGAGGCCAGCUCCUCCCUGCCUACCUGCCCCCUCCCCGACGCGUCUGGACGACGCCACGUGCCACCCCGGUCCUUCUCGCCUCUUCCACGUGUCAUCCCCGCCUCUGCCGCUCUCUCUCCUGAAACCAAAUGUAGCCAUCGCCGCCGACGAGCUCCACCACGGCCACAGCUAUCUCCGAGCCUCUCCGACGCGCCCCCGAGCUCCGCCGUGACGUCCCCGUCCUCUUCGCCGAGCCACAUGACGCCGAAGCGCCCCGCAGCGCCGCUAUCGCUGUUGUCUUCUUCCUCUGCUCCGAGCGCCGCCCCGUUCGAUUCGUCACCGUCCGGGCUUCCCCGACCUCUCCGACGACGCCAUAGAGUUCACUGUGAGCUCCUGUUGCUUCCCCCUCGCUCUCCCCCUCCGUUCUCGUCCCCUAGCCCCGUCUUCCGACCGAGCCCGAGAGCUCACCGCCGCCGGCCAUGGCACCGCCGUAGCUAGAGCGCAUCCACGACACAUUCGAGCCCACCCCCGUGCUCAACGAGUCCGCAGGACUCCACAGCAACCCGCAGCUCGUCCUCCCGUGCACCAAAACGCUGUGUCCGAGCGUGCCCGUACUCCGGCCGCCGCGGAAGUGCUCGCCGCCGUCACCUCUGGCCAUCCCAGCUGCUGCUGCUACCACCACUAGAUGCGCGGGAGCGCCAGCAAUCCAUAGGAGCAAACCCCGCCUCAAACCGUGGGCUGUAGCGAGAUCCCGAUGAUCUCCGUCGCGCGAAAUGGUCGUCGCCGGCGAAACUCCGGCGACUGAUGACGUGGCUCGUCAUUAGCCACUAAUGACCCAGCUAAACCACCCCUAGAGCCACUGCCAUGUGGGCCCCGGUGCCUAAACUAAUUAGUUUUAUUUCUCUAUUAGAUUAGCACUAACCACAGUGGGCCCGCCUGUCAACGUUGACUUGGGCACGUCAGCUUUGACCGGGUCCCACAUGUCAGCCUCUGUAGCUGACUCUGUGUCACUGACCAGUAGGUCCCACUAGUCAGGUUUGACCUAGACCAGCCGCUAUUGACUUGCUGAUGUCAUCCUGACGCAAUGCUGACGCAUUAAUUUAAUUACUGGAAUUAUGUUUAUACAGGAAAUUUCAGAAAAUGCCACAAACUUCAGAAAAUCCUAGAAAAUAAUCUAUAGCUCAGAAUGAAAAGAUUUAUAUAUGAAAAAUGAUCAGAAAAAUCCAAUCUAUCCAUCUGCACUGGUUUCAUGCACGAUAAAGCAACUUAAACCUUCUGUUUAUAUCAAAACAUGUUAAUGCACUUUAUAAACCCUCGACUUGAGUUUGUAUUUGAAUCUUUGAUUCAAAUGAGCUCAAACCACCCUAGUUGUAGAUGCAUUAUCCAAACACACUCAUCUUGCCAUGUAUUAUUCAUGCAUCAUAUUGUUGCAUUGCAUUGAUUGUGUUUUCCCUCUGUUGCCGGUAAUUGUCCCCUCCCGAUAGACGUGAUUCCGACGACGUGAUCAAUGACACCGGCGAAGAACUAUAAUAUCUUCAGAAGUGCCAGGCAAGCAAAACCCCCUUGUUCAUUCCGAUACAAUCCCACUCUCUCGCUCCUGCUCUCUUUUACUGCAUUAGGACAACAAUGAUUCAUCUGUUACUUGCUGCGGUAGUUGAACCCCUUAUCCUCUGCAUGACCUGUCAUUGCCACAGUAAAUAGAUGAAACCCACUAGCAUGAGUAGGAGUUGUUUGAGCCCUGAUGUGCCUACUCAUUCAUGCUUGUUUGUCAUGCCUACUACUGCUUAGAGUUGAGUCGGGUCUGAUUCAUCGGGGAUGAGUUGGAAUGGUGUGAACAUGUCCUACUGUUGAGAGCUAAGUGUGUGAACACGAUUUGGUAAAGGUAGCGGUGAGAGGCCAUGUAGGAGUACAUGGUGGGUUGUCUCAGUGAAGCCGUCCUCAGGAACUGAGUUCUGUGUUUGUGAUCCAUGAAACAGUGACUACCAUGCAUUGGGCCUGAAACCAAUGGACCCUCUCGGUUUCUUAAUCACCCUUGUCCUCUGUCCAGGAGUUGCAAGUAGUUUCUGGUGUUUGUAGUAUGCUGGAGGCCGUGCGCAGCGCUGACCCGAGGGGUGGGCUGUGAUUGGGUAGGCACGUGGCCGGGCAUGCCGGGCGCCCGUUUGGUGUCUCGGAACCCUGUACACAUCGUUCGGGGCUGUAUGUGGAAACCUCGGCCGGACUCCCUGCGGAUGGAACCUGAAUAGGUGAUAAACCUGGACUAGAGACUUGAGUGUUUAGGUAGGCUGUGGCCAACACCCACGUUGGGCUUCCGCUUGAAGGUUGCCGAGUACAUGUCGUGUAAACGGCGGUAAGUGGUGAGAGCGUGUGUGACGAAGUACACCCCUGCAGGGUUAAUAUGAUCUAUUCGAAUAGCCGUGUCCGCGGUAAAGGACUUCUGGGUUGCCUAUAACAGUUCAUAGACAAGUGAAAGUGGAUACUGUAAAAUGCGCAAGAUAAGCAUGGGUGCUAUGGAUGGCGUCCUCGUAGGGAGACGGGAGCGAAUCCAUAGUGGUGUAUUGAUAUGGUGAAUAUGUGGACUCGUGUGCGCCACCUCAAAAGAGUUACUUGCAGUCGUAGUUAGGAUAGCCACCGAGUCAAAGCUGGCUUGCUGCAGUUAAACUCCACCACCCCCUUUGUUGAUACCGAUGCAUAUGUAGAUAGUUCUGAUGUAAGUCUUGCUGGGUACAUUUGUACUCACGUUUGCUUAUUUUAUGGUUUGAAGAGAGACGUCAGUCUUGCUAGUAGUUCCGUGUGGACUUCGACGUUUAGCUUGAUACCUCAGCUACGAUCUUGUGCCCUCGGCAAGAUCUAGUAAAUAGUCAGGCUUCUCAGCCUUUUUCAUUUGUAGAUGUCUGUACUCAGACAUGUUAAGCUUCCGCAUGUGUGACUUGUAUGCUCUGAAUGUUGGGUCAUGAGGCCUAUGUUUGUAAUAUCUCGCUCCUCGGAGCCUAAUGAAUAAGUACAUGAGUCGUAGAGUUAUGUUGUGAUGCCAUGUUGUAUUUACACAUAUCGAGAAUAUUGUGUGUAUGAUUGAAAUGCUUGGUAUGUGUGGGAUCCGACAACCUAGUUGUUUAUCCUUGGUAGCCUCUCUUAUGGGGAAAUGUAGUCUUGUGCUUCCAUGAGCCAUAGUAGUCCGCUACAGCCCGGUUCACCGGAAUCCUGCUAGCCCAGCACUACUGCUCCGGAACACUUGACUGGCCGGCAUGUGUUUCACUUCGCUCCUGUGUCUGUCCCUUUGGGGAAAUGUCACGCGGUGACAUCCGGAGUCCUGCCUAGCCUGCUACAGCCCGGGUUCCCGGAGUCCUGCUAGCCCAGUGCUAUAGCCCGGAUUCACACGCUGCUGACCGACAUGCUCGAUGUUGACUCAUGUAUGCAUGUCCCCGUAAGUUAGUGCCACUUUGGGUUCACGACUAGCCAUGUCGGCCCGGGUUCUCUGUCAUAUGGAUGCUAGCGACACCAUCAUAUACGUGAGCCAAAAGGCGCAAACCGUCCCGGGCCAUGGUAAGGCGACACCCGUGGGAAUACCGUGCGUGAGGCCGCAAAGUGAUAUGAGGUGUUAUAGGCUAGAUCGAUGUGACUUAGAAUUGGGGUCCUGACAGCGUUGGUAUCAGAGCCUGACUGCCUGUAGGAUUACCAAGCCAAACUGGUCGAAGUUGUGUCUAGAAAUGCUUUAGUUAUAUAAGGAAAUUGAUUGUGGGAGGGAACGUAAGGCUCUUUUUACUCCUUUACCUUAUGCCCUUCUGAUCUGAGUCACCCUCUUCUCUUCUACGGGAUUAAGAACUAGGCUUCUCAUCUUUCUAUCAGGAUCACGUGUUACUAAUCCGUAGACUCAUAGGAUUGAUGGAUUUAAGCCUCAGUUCAGUUCCUACUACUUCCGUAUGUUGACCAUUGAUCCCGGAAGUUUAUAUUGUGAUGUUGAGUGGUUAUGCCACCAUUUUGUAGGAUGUCUCAAAUCUUUUUGAGCAUUUACAGCCGUUAUGCUGUCCGAGUCAUCCCAGGCUCCUAAAUAGUCUGAUGCAUUUGCAAAUCCUUUCCGUCUGUUCUCGAUGUUCCUUUGGGCCAGAUUAACCACACUAAUCGUUGAGUUGAGGUACUCUGUUGCCUUGACCUAUAUGUUGGAGUUAUUAUUAUGACCCUAGGUGUUUUAGAGAACCACUCAGUAAUCUAGCAAUGCUCUGUAUCCCCAGUGUGAUGAUUCUGGCCAUUAUUCUCGAAAGCAUGCCGUGAUGCCAUUUAGUUAGUAGGCAUUCUAUUCCUGGGUUCUUGGACCCGAGAUUCAUCCUAAUUAUCUCAUGUUGAUAGUGUUUGCUCGUUCCUUUAGGUUAUUAGUAACCUUUGCAUAGUCCUCGAGGUCCGUGGUAUAUCCUUCUUCCAAAUACCAUGAACUGCUUAUGGCAGAAGUUCUUGAACCAAAAGAUCACAACCAGAGUGCUCUUGGCGAGUUCUCCAUCCAAAUUGUGAUUCUGCCAGUCCUUCUUCUUCUGCAUGGGUUAUCCGGAAGAAAUAUGUUGAACUUGUUCGACAUGCUAAACCAUGCAUCCAUAACUCAGAAAAACAUAUGUUCCUUUGGGUUGUCCCUCUUUAGUUAUUUUCUGGCCCUCGUCUGUCAAUUGAUAGUCAGGAGUAAUUGUGCAUUUGUGUUAUCGAUGCCUAUUAUUCUUGUGGUCUAUCAAGCCAUUCCAAUCCGGAAUGACUAGGAGAAACAAACUCCAGUACCUCGUCCAUCUCUGAGAUUGGGUCAAAGUAGUUGUAUUCCGCAGAUCAAAUGCCUAACCAGCUUUGGUUCUGUUCUACCUUCGAGUAUUACCCCCUUUAUGUCGAGAAUAUCGUAGGAAUUGCACCACCUUUUGUGAAUUCUUGACGCAGUGAUACUCCUCGCCAUCAUCAUUCAUUUCUCGGUCCCGUGUUAUUGUAACCGGAACACCGACAAGUGAAUCGUGAUGUGUGAAAUCAAUACUCCUAGCAACUCCGUUGCUUGGUAGUUGAAGGACAAUAAUUUCAUCCUUAGCGUGUUGGUUACUGAAUCACAUCCUAAGGUUGAUCGUGCUACCUAGUCCAUUUUUCCUGGUGCACCUUUGAUCAAGAGUUAGGAUUGUAUCAAUCCCUUUCUUGUUUGGUCAAAUCGUCUUGCCCUGAAAAGCAAGAUUGUUCUCGAGCUUAGUAACAUAUCGGUGGUUCGUGAUUUCCUGAAUAUCUUCUCGGAAGUAUCACCAGGUUGCUCCCUGACCGUUAUGUUGAGCUCGUGAUCAAGUUGGUUUCCUAUAAACCACCCCUUCUCCAAGAAUCUGUGUUGGAUACCCCUGAGCUAGUUGGUUGAGCUAAACAACAACUUGGAGAGUUGGAAGAUAAAAGCUUUGUCUGACUUAGUUCAUCCUUAAGGGAUAUCUUGGUGUGUGUGUGUGUGUGUGUUAAAGAAAGACGAUAUCUUCAUUGAUUGACCCUCGUGAUCAGUUGUUGGAUCUAUUAUCUUACCAAUCUUUGAUUUGAGUAUGGGCUAUCUCAAGUCAAAUCAGAACCAACGAUGUUCGUAAUGUUGUCUUACUCGUGGUUGAUCCCUCGAGCAUACACCAUUAUAUCUUUUAGGUCUGACCAAUGCUAUCACCGUGUUCACACGAUGGUGGAAGUCCAGUGAUAUGGAAAUUCCGAUGAGUUGCUGUUGAGCCCAUCAGCAGCAUCUUGUUUCCCCAUGAUUCAUGUUAAACAUUAAGCUAGUGUUGGAAACUUUGUAAACAAUGCCUUCAUGUUCCAUUCAUGAAGCAUAUGUUUGGAUGAAAGUAGUGACUUCCUCUAAUUCACGUGCAUCUGAUGCAAGUUGCCGUCGUGGAUUUGAGAAAGUCAAUGUUGCUUCUUUUGGAAUCAUCCCAAAAUCGGUCAUGCAUACGUGCGAAGUAUUCUGUGGUUCAGAGACUUGCAACCUCCGUUCUAUAUGUGUUCCUAGCACACCAAGCCACUGAUUGAUUUGUUCAAGGAAAAGGAGUUGUUGUGCAAACCCUAGGUCAUGCACAAGACUUCGUUACCCUAGAUGAUGGUUCCCCACCUGAACUCGGUAGUGUUUUAUCAUAAGACUACUAUGUGGUCAUGCUUGUCUGGGACAACGUGUUCACAUGUGUUUAGCAGAACCAGCUCAUGUUUUGGAGCUUGCUAUCUUAGUUCAUUCCUCGAGAAUCUCGCAAUGCCAUCUCGUCGAAUUGUGUUGCAAACUUUCUUUUCAGACAUGCUGAGUCUGAAGUAUCCUAUCACCAAUCGGAUCUGAAUCUAGGCAGAUAUGAUGGUUACAACAUUCCCAACGGUUGCAUUUUGUUCCCAGCUUGCACCCCAUCGUGCCAAUUUUCCAUGGGCUGCCCUUCUCAGCAGUUGCUGUCCAGGUCCAUCUUCAAAGGUGGACUUACCAUGAGUCCCAUUCAUUUCCGAUGAUAAGCAAAAAUCAUCCAUUUCGUUGUCUUCAACAAGGUAGUCCACAUCGUCCAUUCUAGCCCGAGUGUGUCGUUCUCCCGAACUCCCUCGAACGAUCGUUUGUGAUUGCCUUAGGCUGGCAUAAAGAGUUUCAAUGAUAUUUAUAUCAAAAGUAAUUCUUUUUUCCACUUGAGGGAAUAAUUCUACGAGUCACCUUUCCCAAGGUGCCCCAUUAUGGAAUCAUGGCAAUUUUCCUCGCUGCUUUGAAACCCUCGUCAAAUUGUUUCUUCCGCCCCUCCUGAUGCAUGUUUUGCCUCUCAGCUCCAGAGAUGUUUCUAUAUCUCAUUCCGUGAAUUCAUAUUGUGAUCAUUAAGAUGAUCCUAAGUUGCUCGAAUCUCAGAAAGAUCGAUUCUUCUAAAAUUCUCUCUCUCUAUUCGUUGUUAUGUUGGAUGUAGUUCUCAAAGCAAGACGUCGAGAUCAAGGUGAUGCAAUGAAUCAACAUCUUCGAGAAUAGCAAUUGGAUCAUGAAGAUUGUGUUAGUUUGUGUCCCCUCUGCCUUCUUACCUCAUGUCUUGAAUCUCGGGACGAGAUUCUUGUUUAGUGGGGGUGAGUUGUCACAUCCCUAGUUCUGGUCUGGCCUAGGCUAGCUUCCUUGUGAGCAUCAUGUUUAAAUUCAAAUGAAAUUUGAAUUGAGGAAUUCUCAAAGCCUCAGAAACCUUCUAAAAAUAAUCAACAUUUAAAACUUAUCAAAUGUGUCCAAGAAAAUGUUCCUAUUAUUCUGUGAAAAUAUUGGUAAGAGGUAAAAUCCAAACCAAUAUUUUUGGAAUCACAGAAAUAUUUAUUUUGGGCCUUUCGAAUUAAAUCAAUGACAUAUUUGAGUUGAAUUUAUUUCUGUUAUAUAAGAAAUAAAGUUAAAAUAUUUUUGUAAGUUGCUUGUGACCUUGGACUAGUUUCUGAGCUCACAUAACAAUUUACAGAAAGUUCAAAAAAUGAUUUGAUGUUUUAAAAUCAAAUCAAAACAAAAUGCAAAGAAAUAGAAAACUAAAACAAAU